UCCGCAAGUAGUGGCGAGCGAACGCGGAGAAGCCCAAACCAGUUAUGUAGCAAUGCAUAGCUGGGGUUAUAGGACUGCGAGAUUUGGAUUAAAAGAGAAUUGGAAUCGUAAUGGAAAUUUGAACCAUGGAGGGUGAGAGCCCCGUAAGGGUAAGUAAAUGCAACAUAGUGGUAUCCUGAGUACCGCGAGGUCGGAGACGCCUUGUGGGAAUCUGCCGGCACCAUCCGGUAAGGCUAAAUACUACCAAGACACCGAUAGUGAACUAGUACCGUGAGGGAAAGGUGGAAAGUAUCUCGAAUAGAGAGGUGAAAUAGAACCUGAAACCAUACGCUUACAAGCGGUCGGAGCCCAUUUAUUGGGUGACGGCGUGCCUUUUGCAUAAUGAGCCUACGAGUUGCUCCUCACUAGCAAGGUUAAUCCGCUGAAGCGGAGGAGCCGAAGCGAAAGCGAGUCUGAAUAGGGCGAAUAGUUAGUGGGGGCAGACGCGAAACUUUGUGAUCUACCCAUGGCCAGGAUGAAGCUCCGAUAACACGGAGUGGAGGUCCGAACUGGUAAGCGUUGAAAAGCUUUCGGAUGAGCUGUGGGUAGGGGUGAAAGGCUAAUCAAACUGAGAGAUAGCUCGUACUCCCCGAAAUGUUUUUAGGAACAGCCUCAGGCUAAGUAUUAUAUAGGUAGAGCUACCAAUUGGGUAAGGGGGAGUCAAAUCCUACCGAACUCAGAUGAACUCCGAAUGAUAUAAUAUGUUACCUGGGAGUGAGGGCAUGGGUGCUAAGGUCCGUGUCCGAGAGGGAAAGAACCCAGAGCAUCGGCUAAGGUCCCCAAAUUUAUACUAAGUUGAACUAACAAGGUCCAGUUGCACAGACAGCUAGGAUGUUUGCUUGGAAGCAGCAAUUCAUUUAAAGAGUGCGUAACAGCUCACUAGUCGAGCGACCGGGCGUGGAUAAUAAACGGGCAUAAAGUAUAAUACCGAAGCUGUGCGAUAGAAAUAUCGGUAGGGGAGCAUUCUGAUAUCAGUGAAGCUGCGUGGUGAUGCGUGGUGGAGAGAUCAGAAAAGCAAAUGUAGGCAUAAGUAACGAUAAUGAAUGUGAGAAACAUUCACACCGAUAGACUAAGGUUUCCUGAUCAACGUUAAUCGGAUCAGGGUUAGUCGGGGCCUAAGGCGUAGCGGAUCAGCGAAGCCGAUGGAUAACUGGUUAAUAUUCCAGUACUUUUUAUGGAGCGAAGUGGAGACGCAGGAGUGAAAGGUUCGCCUGGUGACGGAAUACCAGGUUAAAGCGGGUAGAUAAAUUUGGUGUAGGCAAAUCCGCACUGAAUGUCGAGCGUGAUAGUACCGAGAGGCCUUGUGCCAAUUGGAUAGUGACCCUAAUCAUACUGCCGAGAAAAUCCGCUAGCAUUAAUCCAUAACAACCCGUACCGCAAUCCGACACAGGUAGUCAAGGAGAGAAUCCUGAGGUGCUCGAGUGAAUCACGGUUAAGGAACUCGGCAAAUUAACCCUGUAACUUCGGGAAAAAGGGUGCCCUGUGCAAGCAGGGCCGCAGAGAAAUGGCUCAGGCGACUGUUUAACAAAAACACAUGGCUUUGCAAAAUCGAAAGAUGAAGUAUAAGGCCUGACACCUGCCCGGUGCUGGAAGGUUAAGAGGGGAUGUCAUCGCAAGAGAAGCAUUGAAUCGAAGCCCCAGUAAACGGCGGCCUGAUAUCGUGACUAUAACGGUCCUAAGGUAGCGAAAUUCCUUGUCGGGUAAGUUCCGACCUGCACGAAUGGUGUAACGAUCUGGGCACUGU
rnacentral:rRNA from 1 species